AUUGAACGCUGGCGGCAGGCCUAACACAUGCAAGUCGAGCGGAUGAAGGGAGCUUGCUCCUGGAUUCAGCGGCGGACGGGUGAGUAAUGCCUAGGAAUCUGCCUGGCAGAGGGGGAUAACGUCCGGACACGGGCGCUAAUACCGCAUACGUCCUGAGGGAGAAAGUGGGGGAUCUUCGGACCUCACGCUAUCAGAUGAGCCUAGGUCGGAUUAGCUAGUUGGUGGGGUAAAGGCCCACCCAGGCGACGAUCCGUAACUGGUCUGAGAGGAUGAUCAGUCACACUGGAACUGAGACACGGUCCAGACUCCUACGGGAGGCAGCAGUGGGGAAUAUUGGACAAGGGGCGAAAGCCUGAUCCAGCCAUGCCGCGUGUGUGAAGAAGGUCUUCGGAUUGUAAAGCACUUUAAGUUGGGAGGAAGGGCAGUAAGUUAAUACCUUGCUGUUUUGACGUUACCAACAGAAUAAGCACCGGCUAACUUCGUG
rnacentral:rRNA from 1 species